rnacentral:rRNA from 1 species
AGCGCGCCCUUCGGGGUGAGCGGCGGACGGGUUAGUAACGCGUGGGAACGUGCCCUUUGGUACGGAAUAGCCUCUGGAAACGGAGAGUAAUACCGUAUGAGCCCUUCGGGGGAAAGAUUUAUCGCCAAAGGAUCGGCCCGCGUUAGAUUAGGUAGUUGGUGGGGUAAUGGCCUACCAAGCCUACGAUCUAUAGCUGGUUUUAGAGGAUGAUCAGCAACACUGGGACUGAGACACGGCCCAGACUCCUACGGGAGGCAGCAGUGGGGAAUAUUGGACAAUGGGCGAAAGCCUGAUCCAGCAAUGCCGCGUGAGUGAUGAAGGCCUUAGGGUUGUAAAGCUCUUUUACCAGGGAUGAUAAUGACAGUACCUGGAGAAUAAGCUCCGGCUAACUCCGUGCCAGCAGCCGCGGUAAUACGGAGGGGGUUAGCGUUGUUCGGAAUUACUGGGCGUAAAGCGCACGUAGGCGGACCAGAAAGUUGGGGGUGAAAUCCCGGGGCUCAACCCCGGAACUGCCUCCAAAACUAUUGGUCUAGAGUUCGAGAGAGGUGAGUGGAAUUCCAAGUGUAGAGGUGAAAUUCGUAGAUAUUUGGAGGAACACCAGUGGCGAAGGCGACUGACUGGACAAGU